UGGGGAAUAUUGCACAAUGGGGGAAACCCUGAUGCAGCGACGCCGCGUGAAGGACGAAGGUUUUCGGAUCGUAAACUUCUAUCAGCAGGGAGGAAGAAAUGACAGUACCUGAAUAAGCAGCCCCGGCUAACUACGUGCCAGCAGCCGCGGUAAUACGUAGGGGGCAAGCGUUAUCCGGAAUCACUGGGUGUAAAGGGUGCGUAGGCGGUAAUGCAAGUCAGAUGUGAAACCCCUUGGCUCAACCAAGGGCUUGCAUUUGAAACUGUGUUACUAGAGUGCAGGAGAGGAAAGCGGAAUUCCUAGUGUAGCGGUGAAAUGCGUAGAUAUUAGGAAGAACACCAGUGGCGAAGGCGGCUUUCUGGACUGUAACAGACGCUGAGGCACGAAAGCGUGGGUAGCGAACAGG
rnacentral:rRNA from 1 species